ACAUGGCUAGCUCAUUUGGUAGAGCAUGGGACUCCUGAUCUCAGGAUCGUGGGUUUGAGCCCUACACUAAGUG
rnacentral:tRNA from 1 species